GCAAGAGUGGCUGCAAACUUCUCCCAUUCCAUUCAUUUUCACUCCAAGAAAGUGCUAAGGCAAGAAAGUGCUCUCACUCUCUUCUCCCCUCUCCAUUUUCGUCCCUCCACAUCUCCCCCACUCCCAAGACUCUUCUCCCACCAUUAUCACACUCCAUAGAAGCCCUUGAAGCCCCAAGAGGAGUAUCAAAGCAAGGGAGAGCAUGGGAAAACUAGGGCGUAAAGUUAGAGUGAAGGUUGUGCUUCGAGGGUUGAGCAGUGGCUGAUGGAGAUGAAGUAAAGAGCGGAGCUUUUGUCAUAGGUUAAAUGAAUGAACUCUUGGAUACAUGUCUCCAUACAUGUAAUCAGAUAUUGUUAUUCCGCUGCGUACUCUUAGGUUUUAUGUUCUUUCAGUUAAGCCAGUUUUAUCUGAACCUACAAGUCUGUUCAAGUCUUGUGACUAAACAUCAGGCGUAUUAUAAAUUUUCCCUUCUUUAAACAAAUUUUAGUUCGAUC